rnacentral:rRNA from 1 species
AACCAGCUCUUCAAGUGGUCGGGAUAAUUAUUGGGCUUAAAGUGUCCGUAGCUGGUAGGGUAAGUUCCUGGUAAAAUUGGGCAGCUUAACUGUCCUUAUGCUAGGAAUACUCCUCUACUAGAGGGCGGGAGAAGUCUGAGGUACUGCAGGGGUAGGGGUGAAAUCUUAUAAUCCUUGUAGGACCACCAGUGGCGAAAGCGUCAGACCGGAACGCGCCUGACAGUGAGGGACGAAAGCCAGGGGAGCGAACCGGAUUAGAUACCCGGGUAGUCCUGGCCGUAAACGAUGCGCACUAGGUGAUGGUGCGGCUAUGAGCCGCAUCAGUGUCGUAGGGAAACCGUUAAGUGUGCCGCCUGGGAAGUACGGUCGCAAGGCUUAAACUUAAAGGAAUUGGCGGGGGAGCACCACAAGGGGUGAAGACUGCGGUUC